CCACUUGAUGAUGAAGAUCUAAUUGAGAAAAUACUUGAUAGCCUUGGUGAUGACUACAAAGAGCUUGUGCGUGCAAUUCAAGCCAGAGACAAUCCAAUUGAAUUUGAUGAACUUCAUGAAAAGUUAUUAAGUUUCGAAU